GCGGCGUACGGGUGCGGAACACGUGUGCAACCUGCCUUUAUCUGGGGGAUAGCCUUUCGAAAGGAAGAUUAAUACCCCAUAAUAUGUUGAAUGGCAUCAUUCGACAUUGAAAACUCCGGUGGAUAGAGAUGGGCACGCGCAAGAUUAGAUAGUUGGUGAGGUAACGGCUCACCAAGUCUACGAUCUUUAGGGGGGCCUGAGAGGGUGAUCCCCCACACUGGUACUGAGACACGGACCAGACUCCUACGGGAGGCAGCAGUGAGGAAUAUUGGACAAUGGGUGAGAGCCUGAUCCAGCCAUCCCGCGUGAAGGACGACUGCCCUAUGGGUUGUAAACUUCUUUUGUAUAGGGAUAAACCUACCCUCGUGAGGGUAGCUGAAGGUACUAUACGAAUAAGCACCGGCUAACUCCGUGCCAGCAGCCGCGGUAAUACGGAGGGUGCAAGCGUUAUCCGGAUUUAUUGGGUUUAAAGGGUCCGUAGGCGGAUCUGUAAGUCAGUGGUGAAAUCUCACAGCUUAACUGUGAAACUGCCAUUGAUACUGCAGGUCUUGAGUGUUGUUGAAGUAGCUGGAAUAAGUAGUGUAGCGGUGAAAUGCAUAG
rnacentral:rRNA from 1 species